AGUGAACGCUGGCGGGAGGGAGAAAAAAGGAAAGUCGAAAGGGAGAAGAGUAAGAGCGGGAGAGUAGGGGGGGCGAGUGGCGGACGGGGGAGGAAUACAGCGGAAGCUACUUUUUCGUGGGGGAUAAGGGAGGGAAACUUACGCUAAUAGCGCAUACGACCUACGGGUGAAAGCAGGGGAUCUUCGGACCUUGCGCGAUUGAAUGAGCCGAUGUCGGAUUAGCUAGUUGGCGGGGUAAAGGCCCACCAAGGGGCCGAGCGGUAGCUGGUCUGAGAGGAUGCUCAGCCCCCCUGUAACUGAGCCACUGUCCAGACUCCUCCGCGAGGCAGCAGUGGGGAAUAUUGGACAAUGGGCGCAAGCCUGAUCCAGCCAUACCGCGUGGGUGAAGAAGGCCUUCGGGUUGUAACCCCCUUUUGUUGGGAAAGAAAAGCAGCAGGUUAAUACCCCGCUGUUCUGACGGUACCCAAAGAAUAAGCCCCGGCUCCCUUCGUC
rnacentral:rRNA from 1 species